UUAUUGUGGUUUCAACUUACACAUUGACUCGGGCAGCAAUGCUCUCCCACACCAUUUCCCUCUCGUUUGCAGCGGUGUUGCACUUCUUUCUAAAAACGUGUUCAAACUCGCUAUAUAAGCGCAUUAAGAUUUCCAAUUCAAACGGUGUCGUCCUCUGUUUACCCGUUGCCACGGUGACUCGUCGAAUCGGCGCUCCAUUGAUACUGGCUUUUCAGACCUGUGGCGCACGUGCUUAAUUCCGGGGGAAACUACUCCGACUUGAUUUAACCAACAACAGUUUGUUGAACCCACUUCGUGAAACGGACUCCAGCAGACAAACUAAACCACAACUAACACUAAAACAAACUACACUACCAAACCUACAAAAACCACAAAACCAAACAGGAAUAACCUCAACCAAACAACACAGCAAUGUACUUACAAAAACCAGGGGAAAACAGAGCUAAAGGCUAGGCAGGCUAGGAGAACCCAGAAGCUAGUGGGGAAACAAAACUGGCAGACUGAAGACCAGGGAGCAUCCAAAAACAGACAGGAGUUGAACAGAGUCCACAAGAGAAAAAUCCAGGACAGCAAAAUCGGUUGAGUCCAAGAGGCUGAAGCUGACAAGCAGUAGAAGGCUUGGUGGGGAAACCCACAAUCCAGGAACACAGCAGAAGCCAUGGAGGGAUGUGAGCCGAUGAUCCGGCAAUGAGUGACUGGAAGCACAGAGCUUAAAUACUGGAGGCUCAGAUUCCCACAAAGACUCACAUGGCUUCACACGCUCUGCUCCCUCAUGGACUCUGCUUCCCCACUUCUGGACUCCUUUUUCCCCGACCCGUUUUCUCCGUCUUGUGAGUACCUCUCCUUAGUUUACUUUUGUUAAUCCAGUUUAGUAUUGGUUGACUUCCGUUUCUGUAUUCGUAGUGUUUGCUGGGUUUUAAAUAGUUGGGUUUUGUUUUGUUUCCCCAGUUCAGCUCUCCAUUUAUGUACUAGUUUAGUUAUCUUUUUUUAAAUGAAACUCUUUCCAUUAUUCACCUGUCUGCAAGUCUCUCUGUGUCUGUGCCUGCUUUGUCCAACUCAGGGCCCAAACCGUCCCUUAAAUAACCCUGGGUCCGUUUCACGAAGCAGGUUCAACAAACUCUGUGUAACCCUGAACUCUGAGUUGAUCUACUCUGAGAUAGAAAACUCUGAGUUUUCGGUUUCACAACGGCUGAUUUGAGUUGGUUUAAUCAACUCGGAGUAGUUUCACCCAGAGUGCACCGCAACUAUAAAAAGACAGCAUCAAUGGAACCCCGAUUCGACGACUCACCGUGGUGACGGGGGAGCGGAGAGCUACGUUUUUUACACCACUUGAACUGGACAUCUUAAUGCGUUCAUAUGGCGACUUCGAACACGUUUUUAGAAAGAAGUGCAGCAGCUGCAAAAGAGAGGGAGACGGCGUGGGAGAACAUUGCUGCCCGGGUCAAUGCGUAAGUUUAAAUCACAAUAAUAUUACAGGAAAACUGUUUAAUAGUAGCCUAUUCUGUUAUUUCAUUUAGGUGCAAUCCUGCAGGGGAAGAAGCGCAUGUAACAGCAGCUGAAGAUGAAAUAUAAGAACAUUGUUCAAACAGAAAGAAAGCAGAUGCCUGUAAAAAGGGAGGUGGCCCAGCACCACCACCUGUAACGGAGGCAGAGGAGCUGGUCCUAAGCCAGAAUUUAGGAAGGCCAGUGGCUGAGGGAAUCCCUGGAGGGAGCUCAUCCUCUGAGACCACAUCCCAAGACACAAGUGUGUGCGUGUGUGUGUGUUCAUGCGCCCACUGAACAUUUGCCAUAAGGAAGCACAGAGCACUGCAUCGUUUCUGCGUACGAGCGAGUGUGUGUGCAGCCACAGCGAUGGCAUGCGUGAAGGGGUGUGCUUUAAAGAUAGUGAGUUUAAUUAAAGAUGAAAGGGCUGAUGAUUAAUUGAUGGAAGGUGGACUGUUCCAUCAGGCUGAAGUGUGUGUGUGUGUGUGUGUGCGCGCGCGCGCGUGCGUGCGUGUGUGUGUGGACUCUUCUACUGUCGACAAACAGAAAAAGUGGGGAAAAAAAAGCUACAUUUUUUUUGAGAAAACUAGGACAGCAUCUUAAAAGACACAUUAUAUCGUCAUUUAAAAACAAAUGAUAAAUAUAAUUUGCUAAUUUGAUCAGUCCUUUAUUGAAGAAAACUGGCGUGGAGGUUCAGAUACACACAUCUGGAUGACAAAAAAGAUAUUUAAAUGAUUUUCUAGUGCAGAUCUUUGCCUGUAUUUACUCAUGCCGUGCUAUAGAAGUGAGCAGAUCAUCCCUGCUGUAUUUUUACUGCUCAUCUCUCAGCAGGUCUUCCUUUGCCCCCGUCUUCUCAAGGUGGCACCGAGAGAGACUCUCCUCUAUAAAAAAUGGAGCAGCACAAGCUCUUUUGACAUCACACUUUCUGCUACCAGGACAUUAGAAAGAGAAGGUGGAGCACUCCGGACAAAACGCUCUCGGUCUGUGCAUCUGUACUGAAGAUUUAAUCUCCACGCGACACUCUGAGUCAGAGAGGUUGCUGGGGGAUUAGUUUGUCUCACCUGCCGCUAAUGUGAUUAUUCCAGGCCAGCUGUAAAUUUCUGUAUAUAUUGUUUUAUUUAAUUUUGCUAUUUCAUUUUUCUUCCUGUUCCUUUCUAUAGUUUCUUUAUUUUUUAUUAUUCUCUUCCAUAUUCCUAGUGUGACACCAACAGCCGAAACCAAAUUCCUUGCAUGUUGUGUACUUACUUGGCCAUUAGAGCCGAUUCUGAUCACUUUUCUGUCUUUGGUCUAGGCAAGAGGAAAAGGUGCAACAGAAAAUUGGACUUUCCAAGCAUACUUGUGGAGAUGCACGCUGAGGAGGAGUGGAGUCAUGCCCAGCAUGAUGAGAACAUCUGGUUGCUCCUCAGCGAGGCAAGAGAGAAUGAAGCGGCCUUGCAGCGGGAGGAGAUGGUCCAGAAUGCUGCCUUCAACCAGUCAUUCCUGGGUGUACUGGGGCAGCUGGUGCAGGCAGUGGGCAGCCAGCGAGUCCACCUCCCAGAGACUUGAGAUUUAGUUGUAUAUAGUUUUACUUUUAGCCCUCUACUGUAGGAGAGGCCCACCACAGUUUGUACUUUACACAUUGUAAAUAGUUUUGAUUUUGCUGCUGACUAAUAAACUAUUUUGUGACUUAUGUGAUUGCAUCAUAACUUUUCAUUUUGUCUGUUAAGACACUGGUAGGAAAAGAGUCA
ensembl:lncRNA